UACGGAGGGUGCGAGCGUUGUCCGGAGUCACUGGGCGUAAAGGGCGCGUAGGCGGCCCGGUAAGCGUGUGGUGAAAGCCCGGGGCUCAACCCCGGGUCGGCCGUGCGAACUGCUGGGCUGGAGCACUGUAGGGGCGGGUGGAAUUCCGGGUGUAGCGGUGGAAUGCGUAGAUAUCUGGAAGAACACCGGUGGCGCAAGCGGCUUGCUGGGCUGUAACUGACACUGAGGAACGAAAGCUAGGGGAGCAAAUGGG
rnacentral:rRNA from 1 species